rnacentral:lncRNA from 12 species
UAGGCCUUGUGUUUCCAUCAAGGCGCCCCGCGGCGUUCGUGCGGGGGAAGAUGGAGGCGGCGCAAGGCUCGCUGGGAGCUGUAGUCCCGCGGCGGGCGCGGGCAGCAGGGGCCGGGUCCCCUGAGGAGAGAAUUCCCUGAGGAGAGAAUUCCCUGCCUCCAUCCUUGCUGCGCAGAGCGCUGCCAACACCGAGGCUUGGGCUGCGCGGGGAGCAGGGGUGCCCUCGAUCUGCCCCGUGCGGAGCCUUCACUGCCCCGGUGUGUGUAACCUCAGCGCUACCCCCGUGCCCGCUGGUGCCGGGCUCCUCGCUGUGCUGCAGGCAAACACAAAGGAUCGAUGUUCGGUGCCGGGUGUGUAUUUACCCGGCUCGCCUGCAUUGGUGCGGUGCUGAAGGGAGCACGCGGCAGCCGAGGGCAGUAGACACAAGGGGUGUUUCCAUGAACUCCCACCAGCACUGUCAGUGCUUCUUGUAAAUCCCGGACACUCAGAGGAAGCAGAGGACAUCUACAAUAAGAGGAGGCAGUUAGAGUCAAAGCACACCUCACAAGAGAGAGACAUAAUCCUUUAAGAAUAUUGUAUUGUAUGAAAAUCUUGCUGUAUUGUAGUGCAGAGAAUACAGCUGUGAGUGUCU